UACGAAGGGGGGCUAGCGUUGCUCGGAAUCACUGGGCGUAAAGGGUGCGUAGGCGGGUCUUUAAGUCAGGGGUGAAAUCCUGGAGCUCAACUCCAGAACUGCCUUUGAUACUGAAGAUCUUGAGUAUGGGAGAGGUGAGUGGAACUGCGAGUGUAGGAGGUGAAAUUCGUAGAUAUUCGCAAGAACACCAGUGGCGAAGGCGGCUCACUGGCCCGAUACUGACGCUGAGGUGCGAAAGCGUGGGGAGCAAACAGG
rnacentral:rRNA from 1 species